CCCAAAUACCCUUGAAUUGAGUGCCGAGAUUGUGGAUCGUAAAGACGUUGACGAGCCAUAUCCACCAUAUGGUUGUUGCAAGAGAGGAAAUCGGCUCCCAAAAUAGCUUGAUCCAAAUCGGCCAAGUAGAAUGUCCAAGAAUAACUAACAUUUUCGAAUAGUAAUUCGUGUGACACUCUGCCAUAACUGCGGAUGAUUGGCCCAUUAGCCGCAGUAAAUGACGGAGAACCUCGAGAGGCAGAACGAACAGAACGUGUAACGGUGACAAACAACAACCGACCACCAACACUGGUUAUUGAUGGUCGGGCAACUCAUUUCCCUGGAGCGAGUGGAGUUGGGAUCUACCAAGCUUGGUCAUAGGGCCUUGGACCGUCUUCCCGUAGGGGCACGGGCCUUCACAGCAAUGAGCUUUGUCACCCCAUCGCUUAUGAAAGCAGCAGACUUUGUCCCUGGACGACGGGUGGGAUACUUUGGUGCCCGCAGAGACGGCAUUGAUUGGACAGACCACGUUGACGGAUGGUUCAAGGGAUGAUACCAGUUUGUCUGCGCCAAUGCCAAAUCACGGCAAGAGGUUGAAUCCAGCAGCGGGACCAGAUGAGGACGAACAUCCUCUGGAAGUUGAUCCAUGAAUAGAGUCUUGAACAGGAAGCAGGGUUCAUGCCCCCCUAACAAACUGCGCAUCUCAUCCAUCAGAGUCGAUGGGGAGCUAUCACCUAGUGGAGCUACCCUGAGGAGACGACGGGCCCUCUGGUACGAUGAUAACUUGAAAGACUAGAGGAGCCUGUCCUUCAAAACAGUGUACCUUGUCCCAAUCGGGGGUGGGGCAAUGAUCAAAUCCUCAACACGCUUGGCCGUAGCGUGAUCCAGAGAGGACAACACAUGAUGGUACUUCGUUUUGUCCACCGAAACACCCUUCAGCACAAAGAGAGACUCAGCCUGCGCGAACCAGACAACUGGGUCCUCAGACCAAAAAGCGGGGAGAUGUACCGAUGCCGCAGAAACGACCGGCAACGGAUGUGAGUUGGUCGUUGGAAGGGAAUCCGGUUGGGGCUCAGGUUUCUUCGGGGAUUUGGAAGGCAUGACGACUUAACUAGCCGUCGGAAUGUAACAUCGGGGUCACCAAUGAAGCGGUCACAAUAUCCCGUGUUCUUCGGUUCGUUUAUUCAGAUCAAUUGCCAGCAUAAAAUACGAAUUAACCAUACGA